rnacentral:rRNA from 1 species
UACGGGGGGGGCAAGCGUUGUCCGGAAUCAUUGGGCGUAAAGAGCGUGUAGGCGGCCAGGUAGGUCUGCUGUGAAAACUCGAGGCUCAACCUCGAGAUGUCGGCGGAAACCAUCUGGCUAGAGUCCGGAAGAGGAGAGUGGAAUUCCUGGUGUAGCGGUGAAAUGCGCAGAUAUCAGGAAGAACACCCGUGGCGAAGGCGGCUCUCUGGGACGGUACUGACGCUGAGGAGCGAAAGCCAGGGGAGCAAACGGG